CUCUAUAGUGAAAUAUUAAACCUCCGAGGUAGUAAUAGUUAUAUGCUUCAAACCUAAAGAAUUUGGCGGCAGCUAACCUUAUCAGAGAGACCUGUUAGUUAAUUUGACAAUCCACAUUCUAUCUUACUUUUCUUAUAUUUGCAUACCGUCAUCUAAAUUUUAUUUUUAAAAUAAUAAUUCUAAAGGAGACAAAUAUGUUAGAUCAACGCGCAGUUUAUAGAAAAGCCCUUUAUGGGUCUCAAUUUAUAUUAAGUAGAAAAAAUAGCGAAACUAUUUUUAAAAGAGGAUUUGAAUGUAAUCUAGUUUUAAUAUGACAAAAUGAAAAAGCCAUUAGCCGU
rnacentral:rRNA from 1 species